UUCAUCCUCAUUGAUAGUUUCUCCGUUGAAGUCUCAUGGGCUCCUUGAUCUCGAGUGCUGCUUCUCACACCGUCUAGGACCUGUCUUGAUGCUGCUGCUUCUCUGUCUCCGCCACUGCGCCUCCUACUACUCCGCCUGUGUCUCCUCCUUUGUGAGCGGCUCCAUAUCUCCUCAUCUGCCUCAUUAUACUGAUUAUAGAUGUUUUGAGAAGCCUGUUAUGAGAGAAAGGUGGUGACAUCAUGGGCGUCGACAUUCUCCUCCUCGACCAGAAGGUAUUUCCGGCGACCAAUAGCCCUUCUGAGUACUUUAUAUGGUUGAUUACAUAUUCCGGCAUCCCAGCUCCUUUUUGUCUGAGUUGAAGCAGAAGACCGACAAGAUUUAAUUAGGUCUCUCCCGUUGACGGUAGCUGAAAUCAAUCCAGACUCUGUCUUGAUCCUUUAAGCUCAAAAAGGUCUCCUUGAUUCAGCCAGCCAUUAACCCAUAUUGUCAAAGAGAGACAAACAAAGAAAGUUUGAUACUUUCAUAAGAGAAGACGAACCUAAUGAAGUGGAAGGUGACGUUUAGUAAGAAGAGGAAGAGAUACGAAACUGUGGAUUGCAAAGUAGUUGAAUAAGGCACUAAGGCUAAUGAAUACAACGAGAAGACAAUGUUAAAGCAUAAGAUGUUCAAGCUGAUACAUACAUGAAGUUAUAUGUUGGGGAUAUUCCCUAUCAGAGCACAAAAGAUGAAAUUCAUAGCUACUCCAGAAGAUCAGGGUCAUUACAAAAGUUGACUAUAAAAUGCGUAAGAUGGGUCAUUCAGUGGAAUUGCUUUAUCACAUUCUAAGUGUGACACAAGAGAGCAUUGAUUUCUCUGACAAGGUUGGGAUUGAAUGUGAGUCAAAACCAGAAAAGAGAAUUCAAUUGGGAGGCGCAUCAGAAUUGAGUUAUUUUUGACCAUCAGGGGCUCUAAAAGACACGAGAGCAGAGUCUCGACGGAGUCGUUGAGAUUGACAUCACAACAAAAUCAGAUAAAGGAUAAUAAGCUUAAUACAUUCCUCUUAUUCACUUUCAUUGAAAAUCUUACAGU